rnacentral:tRNA from 1 species
GCGGCUAUGGUUCAUCGGUAGAACACGUUCUUGCCAAGAAUGAGAGACGGGUUCGAUUCCCGUUAGCCGCU